rnacentral:rRNA from 1 species
AUUGAACGCUGGCGGCAGGCCUAACACAUGCAAGUCGAGCGAGCGGCGGACGGGUGAGUAAUGUCUGGGAAACUGCCUGAUUGAGGGGGAUAACUACUGGAAACGGUAGCUAAUACCGCAUACCAUCAGAUGUGCCCAUAUGGGAUUAGCUAGUAGGUGGGGUAACGGCUCACCUAGGCGACGAUCCCUAGCUGGUCUGAGAGGAUGACCAGCCACACGGUAACUGAGACACGGUCCAGACGCCCACGGGAGGCAGCAGUGGGGAAUAUUGCACAAUGGGCGCAAGCCUGAUGCAGCCAUGCCGCGUGUGUGAAGAAGGCAUUCGGGUUGUAAAGCACGUUCAGCGGGGAGGCGUUACCCGCAGAAGAAGCACCGGCUAACUACGUGCCAGCAGCCGCGGUAAUUC